GACGAACGCUGGCGGCGUGCUUAACNCAUGCAAGUCGAACGAACUCGACCUUGGUCAAUGAGUUAGUGGCGAACGGGUGAGUAACACGUGAGAAACCUACCCUGGAGAUGGGAAUAACUCGGGGAAACCCGGGCUAAUACCCGAUACCUCCUCCCGACCGCAUGAUCGGGAGAAGAAAGCUCCGGCGCUCUGGGAAUGGUCUCGCGGCCUAAUCAGCUAGUUGGUGAGGUAACGGCUCACCAAGGCGACGACGGGUAGCUGGUCUGAGAGGACGAUCAGCCACACUGGGACUGAGACACGGCCCAGACUCCUACGGGAGCAGCAGUGGGAAUC
rnacentral:rRNA from 1 species